AUUGAACGCUGGCGGCAUGCCUAACACAUGCAAGUCGAACGGCAGCACGGUAACUUGCUGCUGUUGGCGAGUGGCGAACGGGUGCGUAAUACGUCGGCACCUGUCCCUUCGUUUUGGUUAGCCUUGAGGAAGCGGGAUUUAUACCGAUAACGAACUACGUCUGCCAGUGGGGGCAGUGGAGGUUUCGCGCUUUCGGGUUGGCAGAUGCCGGUUUCGCUAGUUGGGGGGGUAAAGGCCUACCAAGGCGACGAUCAGUAUCUGGUCUGAGAGGACGAGCAGCCACACUGGAACUGAGACACGGUCCAGACUCCUACGGGAGGCAGCAGUGGGGAAUGUUGGACAAUGGGCGCAAGCCUGAUCCAGCCAUGCCGCGUGUGUGAAGAAGGCCUUCGGGUUGUAAAGCCCUUUUGUUGGGAAAGAAAAGCUGCAGCCUAAUACGGCGCUGUGCUGACGGUACCGGAAGAAUAAGCACCGGCUAACUACGUG
rnacentral:rRNA from 1 species